rnacentral:tmRNA from 1 species
GGGGGUGAAUAUUUGGCUUCGACGGAAUUAAAGAGACAUUGAACUGCGUACCGUGUUCCCCGAAGACACGUUAAAAAAUCGGGAACAAAAAUAUAACUGGCGAAAAUAAUUACGCCUUAGCUGCGUAAAUAAAACGCAGCCGUUCUUCAUUCUCUCUCUUGCUGGGGUUUGG